GACGAACGCUGGCGGCGUGCUUAACACAUGCAAGUCGAGCGGUAAGGCCCUUUCGGGGUACGACGAGCGGCGAACGGGUAGGAGUAACAACGUGGGUGGACCUCGCCCUCCAGCUCUGGGAGUAAGACCUCGGGAAACCGGGGUACCGUAAUAACUGGAGUAUGACUCCAUGACGCAUGUUGUGGGGUGGGAAAGACCUUG
rnacentral:rRNA from 1 species